rnacentral:rRNA from 1 species
AUUGAACGCUGGCGGCAGGCCUAACACAUGCAAGUCGCACGAGUGGCGGACGGGUGAGUAAUGUCUGGGAAACUGCCUGAUGGAGGGGGAUACCUACUGGAAACGGUAGCUAAUACCGCAUACCAUCGGAUGUGCCCAGAGUGGAUUAGCUAGUAGGUGGGGUAACGGCUCACCUAGGCGACGAUCCCUAGCUGGUCUGAGAGGAUGACCAGCCACACUGGAACUGAGACACGGUCCAGACUCCUACGGGAGGCAGCAGUGGGGAAUAUGGCACAAUGGGCGCAAGCCUGAUGCAGCCAUGCAGCGUGUAUGAAGAAGGCCUUCGGGUUGUAAAGUACUUUCAGCGGGGAGGCGUUACUCGCAGAAGAAGCACCGGCUAACUCCGUGCCAGCAGCCGCGGUAAUAC